AGAGUACGUGAAACCGCUUAGGGGUUAAGCCCGAUGAACCCGAAUAUCCGAAGUAGGAAAUUCAGUACUGUUUGCGAACGAUUACGUCGUUCGCCGGUAUGCACUUUUCCUACGGUAGGACAUUGCGAUCCAUUGGUGUGUCUUAUUGCUAAGACGGCUUGCCAAACGGCCCGUGCGAUUUAGUUUGUCCUAUCGGUAACGGCUUGUUCCGUUGCACGGACAAUAUCGUUUGCGGUGUCCUGGCAAGCGGCCGAUGGAGCUUAACGAUCGUGCCGUCCAGACGUUCGCGUCUGUGCCGCGGCUGAAUGUUCGCGCAUUCGGUGCAGCGGUCGCACGUGUUCGAUCAGCAAUGCGACAGAUUUGGGAUACCCUCGGGACCCGUCUUGAAACACGGACCAAGAAGUCUAACAUGUGUGCGAGUCAUUGGGUACACAAAAACCUAACGGCGCAAUUAAAAUAACCAAUAUAUGGGAUUACAGGCGACUGUUUCAAUGGUCGUCUCUCCAUCCCGGGGCGUUCUAUACCGAACAUGGCCGCAGCAAUGCGGUCCGCUGUUCGAGAGCGUACCUUGAGCAUACAUGCUGUGACCGA
rnacentral:rRNA from 1 species